GAACGUACGCUGGCGGCACGCCUAACACAUGCAAGUCGAACGAAGUAGCAAUACUUAGUGGCAGACGGGUGAGUAACAUGUAGGUAUCUGCCCUUUGGCCUGGAAUAACACGAGGAAACUUGUGCUAAUACCGGAUAAGUCUUUACGGAGAAAGCUUUAUGCACCAUUGGAUGAGCCUGCACUUGAUUAGUUUGUUGGUAGGGUAAUGGCCUACCAAGACUAUGAUCAAUAGCUGAUUUGAGAGGAUGAUCAGCCACAUUGGGACUGAGACACGGCCCAAACUCCUACGGGAGGCAGCAGUGGGGAAUCUUGCACAAUGGAGGAAACUCUGAUGCAGCGAUGCCGCGUGAGUGAAGAAGGCCCUUGGGUUGUAAAGCUCUUUCGUCGGGGAAGAAAAUGACUGUACCCGAAUAAGAAGGUCCGGCUAACUUCGUGCCAGCAGCCGCGGUAAUACGAAGGGACCUAGCGUAGUUCGGAAUUACUGGGCUUAAAGAGUUCGUAGGUGGUUGAAAAAGUUGGUGGUGAAAUCCCAGAGCUUAACUCUGGAACUGCCAUCAAAACUUUUCAGCUAGAGUAUGAUAGAGGAAAGCAGAAUUUCUAGUGUAGAGGUGAAAUUCGUAGAUAUUAGAAAGAAUACCAAUUGCGAAGGCAGCUUUCUGGAUCAUUACUGACACUGAGGAACGAAAGCAUGGGUAGCGAAGAGGAUUAGAUACCCUCGUAGUCCAUGCCGUAAACGAUGUGUGUUAGACGUUGGAAAUUUAUUUUCAGUGUCGCAGCGAAAGCGAUAAACACACCGCCUGGGGAGUACGACCGCAAGGUUAAAACUCAAAUGAAUUGACGGGGACCCGCACAAGUAGUGGAGCAUGUGGUUUAAUUCGAAGAUACGCGCAGAACCUUACCAACACUUGACAUGUUCGUCGCGACUCUAAGAGAUUAGAGUUUUCGGUUCGGCCGGACGAAACACAGGUGCUGCAUGGCUGUCGUCAGCUCGUGUCGUGAGAUGUUGGGUUAAGUCCCGCAACGAGCGCAACCCUCACUUUUAGUUGCCAUCAUUAAGUUGGGCACUCUGAAAGAACUGCCAGUGAUAAGCUGGAGGAAGGUGGGGAUGACGUCAAGUCCUCAUGGCCCUUACGUGUUGGGCUACACACGUGCUACAAUGGUAUCUACAACAGGAAGCGAAACGGCAACGUUAAGCAAAUCCCGAAAAGAUACCUCAGUUCGGAUUGCACUCUGCAACUCGAGUGCAUGAAGCUGGAAUUACUAGUAAUCGUGGAUCAGCGUGCCACGGUGAAUGCGUUCCCGGGUCUUGUACUCACCGCC
rnacentral:rRNA from 1 species